rnacentral:rRNA from 1 species
GAUGAACGCUGGCGGCGUGCCUAAUACAUGCAAGUCGAGCGAACAGACGAGGAGCUUGCUCCUCUGACGUUAGCGGCGGACGGGUGAGUAACACGUGGAUAACCUACCUAUAAGACUGGGAUAACUUCGGGAAACCGGAGCUAAUACCGGAUAAGAUAUUGAACCGCAGGGUUCAAUAGUGAAAGACGGUUGUGCGGUAACUGAUAGCUGGAUACGCGCCGCAUUAGGUAGUUGGUAAGGUAACGGCUUACCAAGGCAACGAUGCGUAGCCGACCUGAGAGACUGAUCGCCCACACUGGAGCUUGGACACCCUCCAGACUCCUACGGUAGGCAGCAGUAGGGAAUCUUCCGCAAUGGGCGAAAGCCUGACGGAGCGACGCCGCGUGAGUGAUGAAGAUCUUCGGAUCGUAAAACUCUGUUAUUAGGUAAGAACAAAUGUGUAAGUAACUAUGCCCGUCUUGACGGUACCUAAUCAGAAAGCCACGGCUAACUACGUG